CAGCGUGUAGCUCAACAGUAGAGCACCGGGCUUCCUACCCGGAGGGAGCGGGGGCGGCACCCGCCACGCUGG
rnacentral:tRNA from 1 species